UACGUAGGGGGCUAGCGUUGUCCGGAAUCAUUGGGCGUAAAGCGCGCGUAGGCGGUCAGGUAAGUCGGGUGUGAAAACUGGAGGCUCAACCUUCAGAGGUCGACCGAAACCAUCUGGCUAGAGUCCGGGAGAGGAGAGUGGAAUUCCUGGUGUAGCGGUGAAAUGCGCAGAUAUCAGGAAGAACACCCGUGGCGAAAGCGGCUCUCUGGAACGGUACUGACGCUGAGACGCGAAAGCGUGGGGAGCGAACAGG
rnacentral:rRNA from 1 species